rnacentral:rRNA from 1 species
GAUGAACGCUAGCUACAGGCUUAACACAUGCAAGUCGAGGGGCAGCAUGUCGGUUGCUUGCAACCGAUGAUGGCGACCGGCGCACGGGUGAGUAACGCGUAUCCAACCUACCCUUGUCCAUCGGAUAACCCGUCGAAAGGCGGCCUAACACGAUAUGCGGUUCUCAGCAGGCAUCUAACGAGAACGAAAUGUGAAGGAGAAGGAUGGGGAUGCGUCUGAUUAGCUUGUUGGCGGGGUAACGGCCCACCAAGGCGACGAUCAGUAGGGGUUCUGAGAGGAAGGUCCCCCACAUUGGAACUGAGACACGGUCCAAAACUCCUACGGGAGGCAGCAGUGAGGAAUAUUGGUCAAUGGACGGGAGUCUGAACCAGCCAAGUAGCGUGCAGGACGACGGCCCUAUGGGGUUGUAAAACUGCUUUUUAUAGGGGGGAUAAAGUGUGCCACGUGUGGCAUAUUGCAGGUACCCUAUGAAUAAGGACCGGCUAAAUUCCGUGCCAGCA